UAUGCAUAAAAAAAAAAAUAGCACCAAAUUGAAGAAUAUUUCCCCUCUUUUUUUCCCCCCAAAAAAUCUCUCUCUCUCAUUUUCCCCAAUUUGAGAGAGUGGGAGUUACUCUUCGUCGGCCAUUGAUUACACAGUGGGAGGUACGCCGGCCAUUGCUACACAAGUCUCUGGUCGGCCAUUUCCUUCCCAGCUCCCAGGUUUGAUCAAGUGAAUUUCAAUCUUUUGUGUGCGGCAGAAAGUUCAUUGCAGUCGAGGAUUAAAGGGUAUUUUUGUGUUUUUUGAGGUUAUUGGAGAGGGUAAAAAUGGAUGCAACGUUAGGCCAGGAUGUGCUGGCCAAGUCACUAAGCCGUCGGUCCAUGAGUUAGAGUGAAAGGACGCUGAGUUUUCGAUCAGUAAAUUCAAGGAGUUGGGCAUCAGCUAGUGUUAGAGAAGUAAUGUUUACUGCACCAGGAGGUGAUGCAUUUAACAAAAGUACAAGGGAUAAUGACGAAGAACAAGAGCUAAUAUGGGAUGCUAUUGAGAGACUUCCAACUUAUGAUAGGCUAAGGAAAGGGAUUUUGAGACAAACAUUGGAUGAUGGAAAGAUUAAUUAUCAUGAGGUUGAUGUUGUUCAUCUUGGAUUACAAGAUAGGAAAUAGAUAUUAGAAAAUAUUCUUGAAGUUGUCAAGGAAGAUAACGAGAGGUUUCUUAGAUGACUCAGAGACAGGACUGAUCGGGUUGGAAUUGAGAUUCUGAGAGUUGAAGUUUGAUUUGAGCAUCUUUGUAUUGAUGGAGGUGUAUAUGUUGAUCUAGAACAUUCCCUACUCUCCAGAAUGCUUCCAUCAAUCUCGUAGAGGGGUUUCUUGAAAAGAUUAAGAUUGUUCCUUCAAAGAAAAGGAUUGUCAACAUACUGCGUCAUGUGAAUGGAAUUGUAAGACCCUCAAGGAUGACAUUACUUCUGGGGCCUCCUGGUUUUGGAAAAACAACAUUGCUAAAGACAUUUGUUGGGGUGCUAGACAAGGACCCAAGAGUGAAUGGAAGAAUCAGUUACUGUGGUCGUGAACUGUCAGAUUUCAUCCCACAAAAGACAUGUGCUUACAUUAGUCAGCAUGACAUUCAUCAUGGAGAGAUGAUAACUUUCAGAGAGACGUUGGAUUUUGCAGGACGUUGUUUAGCAGUUGGAAAAAGGUAUGAUCUCGUUACUGAAUUGUCAAGGCGGGAAUAGGAUGCAGGAAUCAAACCCGAUCCUGAAAUCGAUGCCUUUAUGAAAGCUACAGCUAUUGUGGGCCAAGAAUCUAGUCUUGUCACAAACUAUGUUCUUAAGGUUAAACUCCUGGUUGAACUCGUAAUCAUAUUUGGGUUGCUGUGACAUAGUUAGGGCUCAACGGGGAUGUUUAAAUCUCACAGAUGGUGGUGAAUACUUACCUACUCACUUCGCUGCUAGCUAGGUUAACUCUGUGAAAUGAUUUCAACAGGACGAGUUUCUGGUUUGUGAAACUUACUUGGUUCAUAGCUAAGAAAUGAUCACAAAAUAUAGGACUUUAUGAGGUGUACUUUGUCGAGAAGAUCAACCAAAGUGGUUUCCAGUUUAAGAAGCAUAAUCAUUUCAUAGUGGUAGCCAUUUUCAUUAGAAUAAAUCUGCAAUACAAUUCAACUAAAGAAGAAAAAAGUUAAAAUUUUGUAGAUAUUUUCUUCUUUUGGUCACUUUCCCAACAAUCUAAAGUGCAAAAUAUAAUCUGACAGAGAUUAUUAGUUGGACGGAUAUCAUCUUGAAACACUGCAUUCUCUAGGACUCCUUGUGCACUUAGCUGAGCACAGAAAACUAUGGAAGUGAAGGAUCUAUGUAGAUGCUAGCAACUAUUUAGAAUUAAGGGUUAGUCGUUACUAAGAUACAAAGUAACAGUAGGUCUAGUGUUUGUUAGGAGUCCAUUUUAGCUUGAUUAGAGAUUCGUAUGUUAUUAUAGGGGUAAGUGCAAAAUUUAAAUAACCUAUAAUUUAUCUUUAUAUUGAGUAUUUGAAUAGAGUCAACCCAUGUAUAGCAUGCUAUAUGGGUUCCCAUGUAUAGUAUGCUACAAACAGAAAUGAAGAUGAUGAUCUUGCUCCAGACCGAGCUACUGCAGAAGUAAUUGAUACCACGGCUUUGAAUUUGUCUAAACAUGUAUUCCCACCAGUUCUUGAGUUUGCUUCUUUAAGUAGUCAAAGUCCAAAUGGGAAGUUUUGAGAAGCUUCGGUUACUGCUUUAGGUGUCAUAUCUGAGGGUUGUUUGGAAAUUAUGAAGAAUAAACUAGAACCCAUCCUACACAUUGUCUUGGGGUCUCUGAGAGAUCCUGAGCAAAUAGUAAGAGGAGCUGCUUCAUUUGCCUUGGGCCAAUUUGCUGAGUAUCUGUAGCCCGAGAUAGUUUCUCACUAUGAAAGUGUCCUCCCAUGCAUUUUAAAUGUUGUAGAGAAUGUAUCUAAUGAAGUUAAGGUGCGAACAUGCUAAGACAUAAUUAAGUCCUUUCAAUGGUGCCUAUUUUUUAAACAAUUGGUUUCUGUUCCUAUUUAGGAGAAGUCUUACUAUACAUUGGCUGCAUUUUGUGAGAGGUGAAGAAAUUCUUCUUUCCUGGAUCCUUUGAUGGGAAAAUUACUUGGUGCUCUCCAAAGUAGCCCUCAUAAAUUGCAGGAAACUUGCAUGGUAAAUGUCUUUUCAGAUGCUUAAAAAUAGUUUCUUUCUAGUCUGAAUUGGUUGGGAUAGUUGCAAUGUCUGUUGGCAGGUCAAGGACGGAACCACUUUUGCCGCCUUUCAUUGAAGCUGCAAUUUCAGUGAGAAACUUUACAAGUUUCUCAUUGGCAGGUCAAGAAACUAUUUGUCUCAUUGGAAUUUCAGAUUAUAAUUAUGGAUGAAAAAUAUUGAAUCUUCCUCGGUUGAUGUAUUAGUUGAAGUCUAUCUUUAUCCUUCUGAAAUUCUUAUUGAAAUUUGUGGUUCUAAACUAGCCUUUUUUACCCAUGAAUAGAGUAAUUCAAUAUCAUUUCUUGCAAUUCUUGUUCUUUCAUUGGUGAUGGGCAUCGUCUUGAACUAUACAAUGUUCUUGUGCACCAUUGUUAACUCGGCUUUAACUACCACAGUUGUCAGAGUCCUCAAGGGAGUCGAAUCUACGGUAUGCAUACAUCUUCAAGUUUUCUUUUAUUUCUUUGACUACCAUGAUCAUUGGGUCCUAUAUAUGUUUCACAUCAAAAUUGUCCCAUGUUUCACUUCAGACACUUGGAUUUGUCAUGUUGGGAGGAGUAGAAGUACAUGCUUUGAAUGCCACUCGUAUGGUGAUAAACACAACUGGUGGUGUGUGGUAUUUAGUAGCCAAAUAUCAAGAGAAGAAGAGAAAAUUGCCCUAGAUAAUGUCUGAAAUCAAAGGUCAUUGUAAAUAAAAAGCUUACAAGGUGGUUCCAUAGAGUUCAAUAUUUUGACUUCUUUUUCCUUCACAAAUUGUGAAUAGGAACUACAGUUGCAUUCACCAUUGAUUUUGUCAAGGUAAUAAAACAUUAAGUUUUCUACAAGUGUGGGGAAUAGAAUCAAUUUGAUAGUACCUUGAACACAUGUACUUGUGAUGUUAUCUGUAAACAUUGGAGAUGUUGUAUUACUACUAUCUUUUGUCUUGUC